GAUGAACGCUGGCGGCGUGCCUAAUACAUGCAAGUCGAGCGAACGGACGAGAAGCUUGCUUCUCUGAUGUUAGCGGCGGACGGGUGAGUAACACGUGGAUAACCUACCUAUAAGACUGGGAUAACUUCGGGAAACCGGAGCUAAUACCGGAUGAUAUUUUGAACCGCAUGGUUCAAAAGUGAAAGACGGUCUUGCUGUCACUUAUAGAUGGAUCCGCGCUGCAUUAGCUAGUUGGUAAGGUAACGGCUUACCAAGGCAACGAUGCAUAGCCGACCUGAGAGGGUGAUCGGCCACACUGGAACUGAGACACGGUCCAGACUCCUACGGGAGGCAGCAGUAGGGAAUCUUCCGCAAAGGGCGAAAGCCUGACGGAGCAACGCCGCGUGAGUGAUGAAGGUCUUCGGAUCGUAAAACUCUGUUAUUAGGGAAGAACAUAUGUGUAAGUAACUGUGCACAUCUUGACGGUACCUAAUCAGAAAGCCACGGUUAACUACGUG
rnacentral:rRNA from 1 species